rnacentral:siRNA from 1 species
AUUAUGCCACGUAAAAUGACA